rnacentral:misc_RNA from 1 species
AAGUCGUAACAAGGUCUCCGUUGGUGAACCAGCGGAGGGAUCAUUACCGAGUUUUCAACUCCCAAACCCCAUGUGAACUUAUACCAUUUACAACCGUUGCCUCGGCGGGUUCUCGCCCCGGGCUUUACACCCCGGAACCAGGCGGCCCGCCGGGGGACCCAAACUCUAGAUUUUUAUUUUAGCGUGUCUGAGUGGAAUCAUUACAAAAUGAAUCAAAACUUUCAACAACGGAUCUCUUGGUUCUG